UAACUGGAGAGUUUGAUCCUGGCUCAGAACGAACGUUAGCGGCGCGCCUAACACAUGCAAGUCGUGCGAGAAAGGGCUUCGGCCCCGGUAAAGCGGCGCACGGGUGAGUAACACGUAGGUAACCUACCCUCUGGUGGUGGAUAACCUUCCGAAAGGAGGGCUAAUACAGCAUAAGACCACGGCCUCGCAAGAGGCAGGGGUAAAAGCGGGCCUCUGCAUGCAAGCUCGCACCAGGGGAUGGGCCUGCGGCCCAUCAGCUAGUUGGUGAGGUAAUGGCUCACCAAGGCAAAGACGGGUAGCUGGUCUGAGAGGAUGAUCAGCCACACUGGAACUGAGACACGGUCCAGACUCCUACGGGAGGCAGCAGUGGGGAAUCUUGCGCAAUGGGCGAAAGCCUGACGCAGCGACGCCGCGUGAGUGAUGAAGGCCUUCGGGUUGUAAAGCUCUGUGGAGGGGGACGAAUAAGUGUCGUCGAAUAGACGGCAUGAUGACGGUACCCCUUUAGCAAGCACCGGCUAACUCUGUGCCAGCAGCCGCGGUAAGACAGAGGGUGCAAACGUUGUUCGGAAUUACUGGGCGUAAAGCGCGUGUAGGCUGCUCGGAAAGUCGGAUGUGAAAGCCCUGGGCUCAACCUAGGAAGUGCAUUCGAAACU
rnacentral:rRNA from 1 species